UGUACGGGAUACAGCCGCACCUGGAGCACUGCAUGCAGCUCUGGUCUCCUUGCUUGAAAAAAGAUAUACUAACUUUGAAGGUAAUGCAAAGGAAGUUCGCCAGGUCGAUUCUGGAUAUGAGCCUAUGAGGGCAGGUAUCCUGGCAUGGAGCUGUCUCCAAAAGUAGGAGAGUCCAGGACAAACUCGGAAUAGAAGGGCGUCCUUUUAGAACGGAGAUGAGGAGGCAUUUCUUCAGGCAAAUGGUGGUGGACCUGCGGAAUUCUUUGCCGUAUCAGCUGAAGAAGCCAAUUCUUUAGGGAGAAUAAAACUACAGCUGUGAGGAUGCCUGCAGCACUGUGAUCUCUGUCUCGGAGGCCAUCGUCAGGCUGUCUUUCAAGAGGGUGAACCUUCGCAAGAAGACAGGCCUCGAUGGAGUCCCUGCAGGAGAGGAAGAGAAAAGACUUUGGAAAGAACUGAUUUGGGAUUUGGCCCGGCGCAGAACCGUGAUUCGAUGGAGUAAGAAUCCCGGGAAGACUUGAGUUCCAAAUUGUUGCCAAUGACACAGUUCCAGACAGGAGAAAAUCUGCAGAUGCUGGAAAUCCGAGCAACGCACACAAAACGCUGGAGGAACUCAGCAGGCCAGGCAGCAGCUAUGGAAAAAAGCACAGUUGACAUUUUAGACUGAGGGGGUCCUGCCUGUGGUGAACUAUGUGCCUGUCUGGAAACACCCACUGCUGACUGCUCUUGUGGCUCCUCCCACAGACCCCUGUAUAAAGGUGAUCGAGGCCUGAGCCCGGCCUCUCAGUCUCCAGGAUGUAGUAUGGUGGUCACUCACUGCUUGUUCCUUCUUCCAGUCAAUAAAAGCCGAUACCUCGCCUUUACGUCUCGGAGUGAGUUAUUGAUGGUGCAUCACUGCCGAAGGGUCUCGGCCUGAAACGUUGACUGUACUCUUUUCCGUAGACAUUGCCUGGCCUGCUGAGUUCCUCCAGCAUUUUGUGAAGGAAGCAGUUCCUUUGCAUUUCACAGCUGGAACACCAACUUUAUUGUAUUCUCUCACACACACACAACCACCCGUCUACAA